rnacentral:rRNA from 1 species
UACGUAGGGCGCAAGCGUUGUCCGGAAUUAUUGGGCGUAAAGAGCUCGUAGGCGGCCUGUCGCGUCCGCUGUGAAAUCCCGGGGCUUAACCCCGGGCGUGCAGUGGAUACGGGCUGGCUAGAGGCAGGCAGGGGAGAACGGAAUUCCCGGUGUAGCGGUGAAAUGCGCAGAUAUCGGGAGGAACACCGGUGGCGAAGGCGGUUCUCUGGGCCUGUUCUGACGCUGAGGAGCGAAAGCGUGGGGAGCAAACGGG